GCGCGGUUAGUUCAGUGGUUAGAAUUUUCGCUUCCCAAGCGAAGGACCCGAGUUCGAAUCUCGGAUCGCGCA
rnacentral:tRNA from 1 species